UCCCGCCUGCCCAGUGACUUUUUAAACGGCCGCGGUAUCCUAACCGUGCAAAGGUAGCAUAAUCACUUGUCCCCUAAAUAGGGACUAGAAUGAACGGCUAAAUGAGGACAAAACUGUCUCUUACGGACCAACCAAUGAAAUUGAUCUUCCAGUACAAAAGCUGGAAUAAAUCCAUAAGACGAGAAGACCCUGUGGAGCUUUAAAACCAAAACCACUAAAUAUGCUUCUUGGUUUUUUAGUUGGGGCGACUUUGGAGAAAAAACUAACCUCCAAAAAAUAAACCUAUUUAUCAAGAAUAAUACACCAAAAAUAAUCAAAUAGACCCAGCAACAUUUUUAUGUUGUCUGACCAAUAAACCAAGUUACCCCAGGGAUAACAGCGCCAUCCUCUUCUAGAGUCCCUAUCGACAAGAGGGUUUACGACCUCGAUGUUGGAUCAGGACACCCCUAUAGUGCAGCCGCUAUAAAAGGUUCGUUUGUUCAACGAUUAAAGUCCUACGUGAU
rnacentral:rRNA from 1 species